GGGUUGUGAGGUUAAGCGACUAAGCGUACACGGUGGAUGCCCUGGCAGUCAGAGGCGAUGAAGGACGUGCUAAUCUGCGAUAAGCGUCGGUAAGGUGAUAUGAACCGUUAUAACCGGCGAUUUCCGAAUGGGGAAACCCAGUGUGUUUCGACACACUAUCAUUAACUGAAUCCAUAGGUUAAUGAGGCGAACCGGGGGAACUGAAACAUCUAAGUACCCCGAGGAAAAGAAAUCAACCGAGAUUCCCCCAGUAGCGGCGAGCGAACGGGGAGCAGCCCAGAGCCUGAAUCAGUGUGUGUGUUAGUGGAAGCGUCUGGAAAGGCGCGCGAUACAGGGUGACAGCCCCGUACACAAAAAUGCACAUGCUGUGAGCUCGAUGAGUAGGGCGGGACACGUGGUAUCCUGUCUGAAUAUGGGGGGACCAUCCUCCAAGGCUAAAUACUCCUGACUGACCGAUAGUGAACCAGUACCGUGAGGGAAAGGCGAAAAGAACCCCGGCGAGGGGAGUGAAAAAGAACCUGAAACCGUGUACGUACAAGCAGUGGGAGCACGCUUAGGCGUGUGACUGCGUACCUUUUGUAUAAUGGGUCAGCGACUUAUAUUCUGUAGCAAGGUUAACCGAAUAGGGGAGCCGAAGGGAAACCGAGUCUUAACUGGGCGUUAAGUUGCAGGGUAUAGACCCGAAACCCGGUGAUCUAGCCAUGGGCAGGUUGAAGGUUGGGUAACACUAACUGGAGGACCGAACCGACUAAUGUUGAAAAAUUAGCGGAUGACUUGUGGCUGGGGGUGAAAGGCCAAUCAAACCGGGAGAUAGCUGGUUCUCCCCGAAAGCUAUUUAGGUAGCGCCUCGUGAAUUCAUCUCCGGGGGUAGAGCACUGUUUCGGCAAGGGGGUCAUCCCGACUUACCAACCCGAUGCAAACUGCGAAUACCGGAGAAUGUUAUCACGGGAGACACACGGCGGGUGCUAACGUCCGUCGUGAAGAGGGAAACAACCCAGACCGCCAGCUAAGGUCCCAAAGUCAUGGUUAAGUGGGAAACGAUGUGGGAAGGCCCAGACAGCCAGGAUGUUGGCUUAGAAGCAGCCAUCAUUUAAAGAAAGCGUAAUAGCUCACUGGUCGAGUCGGCCUGCGCGGAAGAUGUAACGGGGCUAAACCAUGCACCGAAGCUGCGGCAGCGACGCUUAUGCGUUGUUGGGUAGGGGAGCGUUCUGUAAGCCUGUGAAGGUGUGCUGUGAGGCAUGCUGGAGGUAUCAGAAGUGCGAAUGCUGACAUAAGUAACGAUAAAGCGGGUGAAAAGCCCGCUCGCCGGAAGACCAAGGGUUCCUGUCCAACGUUAAUCGGGGCAGGGUGAGUCGACCCCUAAGGCGAGGCCGAAAGGCGUAGUCGAUGGGAAACAGGUUAAUAUUCCUGUACUUGGUGUUACUGCGAAGGGGGGACGGAGAAGGCUAUGUUGGCCGGGCGACGGUUGUCCCGGUUUAAGCGUGUAGGCUGGUUUUCCAGGCAAAUCCGGAAAAUCAAGGCUGAGGCGUGAUGACGAGGUACUACGGUGCUGAAGCAACAAAUGCCCUGCUUCCAGGAAAAGCCUCUAAGCAUCAGGUAACAUCAAAUCGUACCCCAAACCGACACAGGUGGUCAGGUAGAGAAUACCAAGGCGCUUGAGAGAACUCGGGUGAAGGAACUAGGCAAAAUGGUGCCGUAACUUCGGGAGAAGGCACGCUGAUACGUAGGUGAAGUCCCUCGCGGAUGGAGCUGAAAUCAGUCGAAGAUACCAGCUGGCUGCAACUGUUUAUUAAAAACACAGCACUGUGCAAACACGAAAGUGGACGUAUACGGUGUGACGCCUGCCCGGUGCCGGAAGGUUAAUUGAUGGGGUCAGCGCAAGCGAAGCUCUUGAUCGAAGCCCCGGUAAACGGCGGCCGUAACUAUAACGGUCCUAAGGUAGCGAAAUUCCUUGUCGGGUAAGUUCCGACCUGCACGAAUGGCGUAAUGAUGGCCAGGCUGUCUCCACCCGAGACUCAGUGAAAUUGAACUCGCUGUGAAGAUGCAGUGUACCCGCGGCAAGACGGAAAGACCCCGUGAACCUUUACUAUAGCUUGACACUGAACAUUGAGCCUUGAUGUGUAGGAUAGGUGGGAGGCUUUGAAGUGUGGACGCCAGUCUGCAUGGAGCCGACCUUGAAAUACCACCCUUUAAUGUUUGAUGUUCUAACGUUGACCCGUGAUCCGGGUUGCGGACAGUGUCUGGUGGGUAGUUUGACUGGGGCGGUCUCCUCCUAAAGAGUAACGGAGGAGCACGAAGGUUGGCUAAUCCUGGUCGGACAUCAGGAGGUUAGUGCAAUGGCAUAAGCCAGCUUGACUGCGAGCGUGACGGCGCGAGCAGGUGCGAAAGCAGGUCAUAGUGAUCCGGUGGUUCUGAAUGGAAGGGCCAUCGCUCAACGGAUAAAAGGUACUCCGGGGAUAACAGGCUGAUACCGCCCAAGAGUUCAUAUCGACGGCGGUGUUUGGCACCUCGAUGUCGGCUCAUCACAUCCUGGGGCUGAAGUAGGUCCCAAGGGUAUGGCUGUUCGCCAUUUAAAGUGGUACGCGAGCUGGGUUUAGAACGUCGUGAGACAGUUCGGUCCCUAUCUGCCGUGGGCGCUGGAGAACUGAGGGGGGCUGCUCCUAGUACGAGAGGACCGGAGUGGACGCAUCACUGGUGUUCGGGUUGUCAUGCCAAUGGCACUGCCCGGUAGCUAAAUGCGGAAGAGAUAAGUGCUGAAAGCAUCUAAGCACGAAACUUGCCCCGAGAUGAGUUCUCCCUGAC
rnacentral:rRNA from 1 species